GUUCCGGUAGCUCAGCCUGGUAGAGCGCCCGCUCGACAUGCGGGAGGUUCGGGGGUUCGAACCCCUCCCGGAACA
rnacentral:tRNA from 1 species